CACUAGGAAGCUAUGCUACAGCACUAGCCUUUUAAGCUAGAGAAAGAGGACCACCAACCCUCCCUAAUGAU
rnacentral:tRNA from 1 species